GACGAACGCUGGCGGCGUGCUUAACACAUGCAAGUCGAACGGAAAGGCCCCUUCGGGGGUACUCGAGUGGCGAACAGGUGAGUAACACGUGAGUAACCUGCCCUUGACUUCGGGAUAACUUCAGGAAACUGGGGCUAAUACCGGAUAGGAAUCCUUGCUGCAUGGUGGGGGUUGGAAAGCUUCGGGGGUUUUGGAUGGACUCGCGGCUUAUCAGCUUGUUGGUGGGGUAGUGGCUUACCAAGGCUUUGACGGGUAGCCGGCCUGAGAGGGCGACCGGCCACAUUGGGACUGAGAUACGGCCCAGACUCCUACGGGAGGCAGCAGUGGGGAAUAAUGGACAAUGGGGGGAAGCCUGAUGCAGCAACGCCGCGUGGGGGAUGACGGCCUUCGGGUUGUAAACCGCUUUCAGCAGGGGCGAAGCUUGUGGUGACGGUACCUGCAGAAGAAGCACCGGCUAACUACGUG
rnacentral:rRNA from 1 species